UAGAGUUUGAUCCUGGCUCAGGAUGAACGCUAGCGGCAGGCCUAAUACAUGCAAGUCGGACGGGAUCCAUCGGAGAGCUUGCUCGAAGAUGGUGAGAGUGGCGCACGGGUGCGUAACGCGUGAGCAACCUACCUCUAUCAGGGGGAUAGCCUCUCGAAAGAGAGAUUAACACCGCAUAACAUCAACAGUUCGCAUGUUCGGUUGAUUAAAUAUUUAUAGGAUAGAGAUGGGCUCGCGUGACAUUAGCUAGUUGGUAGGGUAACGGCUUACCAAGGCGACGAUGUCUAGGGGCUCUGAGAGGAGAAUCCCCCACACUGGUACUGAGACACGGACCAGACUCCUACGGGACGCAGCA
rnacentral:rRNA from 1 species